CCUACGGGAGGCAGCAGUGGGGAAUUUUGGACAAUGGGCGCAAGCCUGAUCCAGCUAUUCCGCGUGUGGGAUGAAGGCCCUCGGGUUGUAAACCACUUUUGUAGAGAACGAAAAGACACCUUCGAAUAAAGGGUGUUGCUGACGGUACUCUAAGAAUAAGCACCGGCUAACUACGUGCCAGCAGCCGCGGUAAUACGUAGGGUGCGAGCGUUAAUCGGAAUUACUGGGCGUAAAGGGUGCGCAGGCGGUUGAGUAAGACAGAUGUGAAAUCCCCGAGCUUAACUCGGGAAUGGCAUAUGUGACUG
rnacentral:rRNA from 1 species